GAAUGUUUGGAGGACAUUGAAGUUGG
rnacentral:piRNA from 1 species